rnacentral:rRNA from 1 species
AUUGAACGCUGGCGGCAGGCUUAACACAUGCAAGUCGAGCGGGGUGAUGGUGCUUGCACUAUCACUUAGCGGCGGACGGGUGAGUAAUGCUUAGGAAUCUGCCUAUUAGUGGGGGACAACAUCUCGAAAGGGAUGCUAAUACCGCAUACGUCCUACGGGAGAAAGCAGGGGAUCACUUGUGACCUUGCGCUAAUAGAUGAGCCUAAGUCGGAUUAGCUAGUUGGUGGGGUAAAGGCCGACCAAGGCGACGAUCUGUAGCGGGUCUGAGAGGAUGAUCCGCCACACUGGGACUGAGACACGGCCCAGACUCCUACGGGAGGCAGCAGUGGGGAAUAUUGGACAAUGGGGAGAACCCUGAUCCAGCCAUGCCGCGUGUGUGAAGAAGGCCUUAUGGUUGUAAAGCACUUUAAGCGAGGAGGAGGCUCUUUUGGUUAAUACCCAAGAUGAGUGGACGUUACUCGCAGAAUAAGCACCGGCUAACUCUGUGCCAGCCGCCGCAGUAA